GUUGUAUGAAAUGUUCCUGCUCUUCUCCUUGGUUACAAGAUAGCUGCCUCAUUUCAAACAAUCACGUUAACUAUUUCAUCACCGAGAUUAAGGAAGGUCUGUAUUUUCUCUGGGAAUUGUCUCCGUGUGCCCUCUCUCUCUUCCAGUCAGGCAUAGGGGGCUCAAUCUCUCCAGGUCUGCCGCCUCUGUCUGGCACACUGCCCAUUAAGACCUUAAAAUAGAUACAUCAUAAAUGAGGUAAAUGGAUAUGUGCCAAAUAUUCAUGAAUUCAUAAACAUCCAUAAAUUAAUAUGAUGAGUAUGGCUGGUGUGAUGAUACCUUAUGGACUGCUGUCGAGGGUCCUGCUCUGACUGGCAAUAUUCGCGACUGAUCCUCUCGAGCUGCCAGCAGUCGGGAGAGGGAGACGUGGGACUCGCCAGACAGCAAGAGGGGAGGCAGGGACGCCACCGCUUUUGCACGGUCCUGAGGUGUUCAGUUAAAACCGUGUUAAACCAAAACAUGCAGACUGUUUCAAGAGCUGAGAUGCUGUGCAACAUCAGCUCACUGUUCAAAUCUCCUGAUGAAACAGUACAAAUGUUGAUCGCAUGUUAUACCUCUAAAGCUAUUGGUUAUAGAUGUGUGCAAAGGAUUGAUGAAAAAUAAAGUGCUUUACCUUCCCUCUC